rnacentral:rRNA from 1 species
AGCUGAGAGAAGCUUGCUUUUCUUAGCUUAGUGGCGAACGGGUGAGUAACGCGUGAGUAACCCUGCCCUGGGAGUGGGGGACAACAGUUGGAAACGACUGCUAAUACCGCAUAAGCCCACGAUCCGGCAUCGGAUUGCGGGAAAAGGAUUUAUUUCGCUUUCAGGAUGGACUCGCGUCCAAUUAGCUAGUUGGUGAGGUAACGGCCCACCAAGGCGACGAUUGGUAGCCGGACUGAGAGGUUGAACGGCCACAUUGGGACUGAGACACGGCCCAGACUCC